GGGGUUGUGGCUCAGAGGUAGAGUGCUUGCCUAGCAUGCAUGAGGCACUGGGUUCAAUCCUCAGCACCCCA
rnacentral:tRNA from 1 species